AACGCAAAUUGCACUCUCUGGCAUUCCGGAGAGUAUGCCUGUUUGAGGGUCAGUAUAAUAAAAAUCGGUAUGUUGCUUUUUCUGUGACGUUCCGGAAUUUGGUUAUCUUAAUAUUUGAGUUUAAGAAGCUUAAAAUUGAUAUUUUUUUUUGCGCAUUUUAUUAGAUGUACAUAAAUAUUUUUUUUAUUCGUUUAUUAUAAUGCUAAUGUCUAUUAGAUGCGACCAUAUCGUGUGGUUUCGUACCUAAAGUUUUCGUGAUUUGACCUCAAAUCAGGUAGGAAUACCCGCUGAACUUAA
rnacentral:misc_RNA from 1 species